ensembl:rRNA 5S_rRNA 5S ribosomal RNA
AUCUAGGGCCAUACCACAGGCAUGAUCUCCUCUGAUCUUGGAAGUUAAGCAGGGUUGUGCCUGGUUAGUAUUGGGAUGGGAGACAGCUGGGAAUACUGGGUGCUGCAGGCU